rfam:Sporomusa sp. An4 isolate Sporomusa ovata strain An4 genome assembly, contig: SPAN4DRAFT_scaffold-13
GGAAUCCCGCCUGAGAAGGCUUAGCCAGCCACUCAGUAUCUAGCCUUGGGACUGAAGCGGUAACGCCAGGUCUAAGCGUAGGCAAGAAAGGUAGUAGGCCGAAAGCGAAAGCUGAAGAUGUAGAGCCCCGAAAUCCCCAAAUGGGUUGGUCGAUGCCUUAGAACCAGCAGAAGACAACACUGAGUUUAGCGAUAAAAGGCAAGCUAAAUUCAGCGCCCCGGGGUCAAAGGUCU